AUCGAUGCACAUCGGAAUGAGAAGGAGGCCAUCUCACAUCCGCGUAGAGUGAUUUCAUUCCCUCACGAUCAGGCGUGAAUCUAAUGCCUGUUCUUCAUAGGCGUGUAUAUAUAUAAAGCCCUGCACGCCUCUUCUUCGUCCACUUAGCUUCGCACUCCAUCAGCUGGUUGCCAACAGUCUAAGCCGUCAGUAUGGAAACUAAGAUCAUCUGCUUGGCUCUAGCCUUUCUGCUAGUCGCUAUGGAAAUAAAUGCAGUACCUAUGCGGCGAAGUCUUUCAUCGGAAGAUCCAUGGAUCUCGUCUGCUGACAAGCGGGCCAAAAACAGAAUGAUCGUUAUGAUGUCCCGAUGUCUGAGAUACUUGUAUGAAAAAAGACCACCCUCACCCGAAUGCAUGCAACAUUUCAUGUCUCUUAGACCAGGUGGCAGUCCUGUUAUCAACAUGAGUUAAAAACGGACUCUUCAAAACCUUUCAUUUUUUUCUUUGAUUUAUCUUUAUAAAAAAAACAAUAUUUGGAUAAAUGGCGGAUGGAGUGAAUCAAAAUGGAACAGUGUUUGGAAGUGGUCUUGGCAGAGAUGAACUUUUAUACUUCAUCAUCCCUUAUUUCUUGAUUUUUUAAAUUGUCUCUCUGUCUCUAUUUAUGCUUUCGAUUCAGUGGCUUGUUCUUGACACAAAACGAGAUGAGAUGAAUAAAAAUACAAAAAACUU